rnacentral:misc_RNA from 1 species
GCGUCCGUUUCCUCUUUGGGCCCCUUUCUCUAUUUCGUUAGAGAAAGAGGCCGCGCUGAGGCGUCGUCCGCGUACGCGGGCGUCCCUUCAAGUGCGAA